rnacentral:rRNA from 1 species
AUUGAACGCUGGCGGCAGGCCUAACACAUGCAAGUCGAGCGAGCGGCGGACGGGUGAGUAAUGUCUGGGAAACUGCCUGAUGGAGGGGGAUAACUACUGGAAACGGUAGCUAAUACCGCAUACCAUCAGAUGUGCCCAGAUGGGCUUAGCUAGGAGGUGGGGUAACGGCUCACCUAGGCGACGAUCCCUAGCUGGUCUGAGAGGAUGACCAGCCACAAGGGAACUGAGACACUGUGCAGAGGCCUACGGGAGGCAGCAGUGGGGAAUAGUGGACUAUGGGCGCAAGCCUGAUGCAGCCAUGCCGCGUCUGUGAAGAGGGCCUUAGGGUUGUAAAGCACUUUCAGUGGGGAGGCGUUACCCGCAGAAGAAGCACCGGCUAACUCCGUGCCAGCAGCCGCGGUAAUAC